rnacentral:rRNA from 1 species
ACGGAAGGCAGCAGUGAGGAAUAUUGGUCAAUGGGCGGAAGCCUGAACCAGCCAAGUCGCGUGAAGGAUGAAGGUAUUAUGUAUUGUAAACUUCUUUAGACGUAGAGAAAUAAGAGGGUCGUGACCCUUGAUGCUAGUAUACGUAGAAUAAGGAUCGGCUAACUCCGUGCCAGCAGCCGCGGUAAUACGGAGGAUCCGAGCGUUAUCCGGAUUUAUUGGGUUUAAAGGGUGCGCAGGCGGCUUUUUAAGUCAGUGGUUAAAUCGUGACGCUCAACGUCAUCACGCCAUUGAUACUGGAGAGCUUGAUUGCGGUCGAGGUUUGCGGAAUUCGUUGUGUAGCGGUGAAAUGCAUAGAUAUGACGAAGAACACCGAUUGCGUAGGCAGCAGACCAGGCCGUAAAUGACGCUCAUGCACGAAAGUGCGGGGAUCGAACAGGAUUAGAUACCCUGGUA